rnacentral:lncRNA from 1 species
UUUGAAGGUACUUUGUACUGCUAAGCUUGCAUGUGGUAUGUAAAAUAUCACACAACUGUCAUACACUAGCUCUCUCAUAAAUUUUAAUUCGCUCGAGCAAGAAAGGGUGUACUUUGGCGAGUAAAUGCUCUCAUACGUCUAUGUCGUGCCAUACAUAUAACAAAUUGCAUAAUUGCAUGAAUACGGUAACCACGACAACUAUUUCGGACCAAAAAUGAAAAAAAACAACUAAUUAUCUCUUCAUCCUCUUCCGUUUGUCUAAUCUACGACGAGCCAUGGCUGCAAUUCAAUUGAAAAAGUAAGAGUAAACUCAAACAACUCAAGAGCCAUGACUGCAAUUCAAUUAAAGAAAUAAGAUCAAACUCAAACAACAUACUCAAGAAAAUUAUUAAUGAGAAGGCAAUGAAAUAGUAACCCAACAAGCAUUUACUAGAAUGUGAAGCAAAGUUGAUUAUGACAGGUAACAAAUAGAAGUCACCAUAUGAGAAUAUAUAUGUGUUUAAUUAAGGUGUGUAAUGAGUAAAUAGAUCAAUCUAUAUCCCUCGACACCCAUUCACACAUUACUUAAAGUAUGAGGCAAUCAAACCAACAACACUCUCCUAGCAGCAAUUUAAAAACAGUCUAUUUUACAUGCAUGGAAUGCAACAGACCCUCCAAGGACUAAACAGUCUAGAAUUAUAUAGUUCCUCUCACUUUAAGCAGAACAUCAUGUCCAUGCUCAUUUCUUCAUCUUUUUAAAGAACACAAUUGAAUUAAAGUGUUUUAAUUUUCUAGCACUAAUUCAAUGUAUAUAACAAUGAGGACCAAAAUUAUAAAACAAAAGAAACAAGUGAGAUUUAAUUGUUUUUGUUUUAAUUAAUUUUGUGGAUAAACCUACAAUUAUUUAAAAAAAAUUGAAAUUAUCUUUAUGAUUUUUUCCCCUGUAAAUACAAAAAUGACAUCCUUACUACAUAAGAGAAGUUUGUAAAAUAAAUAACUUUAUUUUAGAGUAUUUUUUUAGCGCAUACAAAAAUUAUUGGGAUUCUGUUUCAUGUAGCUUUCAGCAGAGCUAGAGUAUUUUUUGAGUGGAUGGAUGUUAGUUUGGAUAAGGCUUUGUGAAAUUUAGAUAGACACACUUAUAAGGGGUUGAAUAAGUGUGAAAAUAAACUAUAUCAAAAUUUUUGUAAUUUAAAUAUUUAGUCAAAAAAUUUAAGUUUGCCAAUAUUUAUAAACUUAUACUAAUUGAUGACCUGAGUUGAAUUAAUUAAUAUUGUGAUGAAGUAUUAAGAUAUUCAAAUUAUAUUUUUCAAUUCAAAUUAAAGUAUCUAAUGAGCAAUUAAAAUAAGCACAAUCAAACACACGAGCACAAAUGAUUUUUAUGUGAUUUAGCCCUUAACCUCUACUCUAGUGGCCUAAUCCACGUCAAAUACCAACUAAUAUUAGAGACUCACUUUAUUAAUCAAUAUAACACCGUUACAGAACAAGUUUACAAAUUACUCGAACACUUUUGUUCACCUUGUACACUUGUACACCCCUUGAAUACCUAUACUCACUUGAACACUUUUGCGGUACACUUAUGUACCCCAAACACCUAAGCUUCCUUAAACUUGUUUGUAACAAACUUAAUCCAACCCGGAUUAGAACUUGUAGACUAACCUUAGUCUAUUUAUGCAAUGAUUAAUGUAAUGUAAAGAAUUAGGUUAUCACCCGUUAUAAAGCAAAGAGGAAAGGUGAAGAUUAUCAGAGACUUUUUAAUGCACAGAAACUUUGUUAAUGAAUCGCUCACAGUUCAAAAUUAAACUUGGAUAGGGUUGUUUUCAAAUUAUUUGCCCGUUGAAAAUUAAACUUGGAUAAGGUUGAAUGAUACAAGAAUCAAUAUAACCAUGAAAUCAUCUAGACCCACUAAUUAAUUAUCAAUACAAGCCCAACUAUUAAUUUCCAACUAAUCACGUUGCUAAUAGAAUAUUCAAUAACAUUUUUCCAACCUAACUUAUUCCAAAUAAGGUAAGCAAGUAUCCUGUUUAAUCAAUUAAGGAACCAUUACAAGAAAUUUAGUCACUAACUAUCCCACUAAUAUAGAGAGAUGAUAGCAUGAUUUACUCUAAUUGAUUGCAUGCACCACUUAUUUUUUUAAAAUUGAUAUUUUCACAUGAUUUUUUGAUAUUUUUACAUGAAAAAAGUCGCUAUAGAUGUAUAGCGACGGCAAAAAUUGUCGCUAUAGGAUUUAUAGUGACGGUUUUCAUGUGAAAAUAUAAAAAAAUCACGUGAAAAUAUAAGUUUCUCUAAUUUUUCCUACUAAAGAAUACUGCAAUCUUUUUGUAAACCAUUGACUAACCUUAAUCCCAAGAGGCAAUCCAAUCAACCAAAGGUUUAGAUUUCAAAUCAAAUCCGGCUGAUAUAAGAUAAUUAAUAAUUGCAAUACCAUGUAAUAAGCUUAGCAGCUUAAUUUAAGGAACAUGAUAUCUUAUAUCAGUAUACUCCACCUCAACAGCAUAUUGAUCAGCAUAUUGCUUCAUUGUAGUCUUCUGUCCCACAUAAAAAGCUGAGGUGGAGUAUGUCACAUCAGCAAUUUGUAAAAUAAUUUGUAUCUCUAGCAUUUUUUUUAUUUUUAUUUUUUUUGAAUCAUUUGUGUAGCAUUAUUCUUCAAAAUUAAUAUGGAAAUAUUUUAAAAUGUUGGAUUUUAAUUGUUCCUAAAAUUAGGUGCUCUAAGUCAUUGCAUUGCAUUUAAAUAAUUAUGAAAAUGGCAAAGUUGUGAUUAAUAAAUUUAAAUGGACAUCUAAAAUAAAAGUGGUGAAAAUUAAAGAAUGCAUUUCGGUUGAUAAAAAAGAUUAUUUUAAGGUGUAUAUAUUAAAAUUGGAUAAUUAGAUAAUCAAAUAUAAUCAUCUGGUUAGAACAUCUAACUAGUGGCUGACUCCUAUAAAUGAUUCCUUAAAGACAACAUAUCAAAUUGAUUAUAUAUUGGAUCCAGAAAUAUUUAAGAUAUGCAUUCCUCCUUAAAUCAAGGAAAGCGCAAUUAAUUUGUUCCAUAAUAAAUUAACCACUUCAAUAAUUAUUUUCAUACAAUUCAAAAUUAUUUCCAUAUUAAUUUUGAAAUCCAAAUUUAUUUAAAUUUUCCCUCAUUAAUUAGCUUUCUAAAAAUUACUUUCAGAAUGUACAAAUAUAUGAUACACCAAUAUCACACACCUUCCUAACAAAAAAAUGCACCAAAAUCACUUUCAGAAUGUACAAAUAUAUGAUACACCAAGAAAAAUAUAACUAAAGUCAAUAAAAUUUUGCAAGCCCAAAUCUGAAAACAAAAUGAAACAUUAUUUUUACACAAACAAAACCCCCUCUGGCACAUUUUGCAUUGCAAAUAGUUCUCAUCUAUGACUGACAUCAAAAGUUAGAACGCAGGCUUUAAGUUGAAAUCACUUCUAGGAUCAAAAAGUAGAGGAGUAAUUCACAAUUUAAAAAAUAGUCAACAUGGAAACACCAAUAAAAAAUUUCACCUAGAUGUAAAGUGGUGUUACAAAGCCAAUCAUUAAGUGCUCCUUAAUUACUACUCCUUCCGUUCCUAAAAGAUUGUCGUUUAAGGUUUUGGCACAUGGAUUAAGAAAGUAUCAUUUACCAAGUAAAAUUUGUUUGAAAUUUCAUCACUACCCCUCUAUCGGAAUUGAAAACUAUUAAUACAAGAGAUAAUUUUUUGGGACAAUGAGAGAAGGUAGGGGUAAUGUAGGAAAAUAAAUAAUUUAUUUUUUUUAAACGACAAACAUUUUGGAACAAAUUUUUUACAACAAUCUUUUAGGAACGGAUGGAGUAUAUAACUGGAGUAACUACAACGUAUACCAGGGGAAAUACUAUACAUAGGUAUACUAAGAAACAUAGAGCUAAGUCAAAGAAAGGCUUUCACAUACCACAUACCUACGAAGUUUGAUCUAAGAAAUACGUAAUACCAUUCUCACACAAAAAACCAUCUAUGAAGUAAAAGAACGACCAACAUGAAAUUCAGAACAUCACAAAUUAAGAUAAUUUCAACAAAUAAUAGAAUUAUAGAUAUUAUACUAGAAAUAUAGAGAGAUUUGGAAUAUAUUUGAUUUAAUUCAAAGCUUUGAAAGGAUUUCGAAAUUACCUGUGAAUUAGAAAGUUUAGAAAUAUGAUGAUGCUAACUUGGAGCCAAAAAAUUGCGAUGAAAUUGAUUAUGUACCGAUCUCAGUCAUGGACCGAUCUCGCUUCUCCUCCCAUCGCUCUCCUCCUAUAGGGGUUCUCAAUAGAGAACAAAAUCCAUUGACUGAAUAAGAACUGGUAAAAGCCCUAUAUAUAAUAAUUUAGGGGCAAAAAUGAUCCCGAGUGGAUUCUGUUGGGC